rnacentral:rRNA from 1 species
GUAGGGAAUAUUGCAAAAUGGGCGAAAGCCCGAUGCAGCAACGCCGCGUGGGCGAUGAAGGCCUUCGGGUCGUAAAGCCCUUUUUGAGGGGAUGAGGAAGGACAGUACCCUCAGAAUAAGCCUCGGCUAACUACGUGCCAGCAGCCGCGGUAAAACGUAGGAGGCGAGCGUUAUCCGGAUUUACUGGGCGUAAAGCGCGUGCAGGCGGAUUGGAGAGUUGGAUGUGAAAGCUCCCGGCUUAACUGGGAGAGGUCGUUCAAUACUUCCAGUCUUGAGUGCAGUAGAGGGUAGUGGAAUUCCAGGUGUAGUGGUGAAAUGCGUAGAUAUCCGGAGGAACACCAGUGGCGAAAGCGGCUUCCUGGACUGUAACUGACGCUCAGACGCGAAAGCUAGGGUAGCAAACG